UCCCACAGUGUGUGAGGAGCUGAGUGUUCGUGACGCUGGGGUUAGGCUGAUGACCUCCCUGUCCCUCUGUCCUGGAACGGCCCCCAAAGACACACAGCUGUUCCUGUACUUCAGUGUGGGGACAGCACCCUCCUCUGGCUUGGAGGGGGAAAUCAUUGUAGAGCAGUCCAGCACAGUUAAACAGUGUCUCAAGACAAUGUUGGAGUCAGCAAGACUUGAAGGGAACGGUUGGCAUCUAAGGAGGCUGGACUGGUGUGAGGAGGUGGGAGAGGCUUUGAUGGACGAGGUCAGUAACCAGAAUUAUAAAACGGGUUGUUUGGAUGCUGAUUGGUUGAUACAGGGAGUUAUUCACGACAAUCACCCGGGUAAUGCCUGUUAAGUUUAAUUUGAAUGAUCAAUGCUCCUUCAGCGUCCCACAGCCCAGCCAGGCAAUUAAUAAACUCCCCUGGAGAGAAAUGUCUCGACAGGAUUUCCCUAUGCUUCCAUCCUAGCAUUUGGUUUGCAACAGUUGAGGUUUGUCUAAACCUUGUUGCCUGCCAUCUCCACCGUGCCAUAGAGAUCUCCACCGUGCCAUAGAGAAUGAUCGUGUCCAGAGGAGACUCAUUAUAAUGGAUAUAUCCAAAGAAAUGGCAAUAGAAAUAAAGGUAAAACAAACGAAAAUGCACAUAGUUUGCUGUCAGUUCAGCUGCUUGUCGUGAUUGUGGGUUUGCUUUAGUUGACUAGUUGGCCAAGGAGAAGAAGCCAACUUGCAAUGCAAAAAGUGUUUUGCUUAGAAUGGACGACCAGCCCGCUUGGCUGACAACCAUGUCAAUAGAAUAGACAACCAGCCUGCUUGGCUGACAACCAUGUCAAUAGAAUAGACAACCUGCCCGCUUGGCUGACAACCAUGUCAACAGAAUAGACAACCAGCCAGCUUGGCUGACAACCAUGUCAAUAGAAUAGACAACCAGCCAGCUUGGCUGACAACCAUGUCAAUAGAAUAGAC